rnacentral:rRNA from 1 species
CGGCGUGCCUAAUACAUGCAAGUAGAACGCUGAAGAGAGGAGCUUGCUCUUCUUGGAUGAGUUGCGAACGGGUGAGUAACGCGUAGGUAACCUGCCUUGUAGCGGGGGAUAACUAUUGGAAACGAUAGCUAAUACCGCAUAACAAUGGAUGACACAUGUCAUUUAUUUGAAAGGGGCAAAUGCUCCACUACAAGAUGGACCUGCGUUGUAUUAGCUAGUAGGUGAGGUAACGGCUCACCUAGGCGACGAUACAUAGCCGACCUGAGAGGGUGAUCGGCCACACUGGGACUGAGACGCGGCCCAGACUCCUACGGGAGGCAGCAGUAGGGAAUCUUCGGCAAUGGGGGCAACCCUGACCGAGCAACGCCGCGUGAGUGAAGAAGGUUUUCGGAUCGUAAAGCUCUGUUGUAAGUCAAGAACGAGUGUGAGAGUGGAAAGUUCACACUGUGACGGUAGCUUACCAGAAAGGGACGGCUAACUACGUGCCAGCAGCCGCGGUAAUACGUAGGUCCCGAGCGUUGUCCGGAUUUAUUGGGCGUAAAGCGAGCGCAGGCGGUUUGAUAAGUCUGAAGUUAAAGGCUGUGGCUCAACCAUAGUUCGCUUUGGAAACUGUCAAACUUGAGUGCAGAAGGGGAGAGUGGAAUUCCAUGUGUAGCGGUGAAAUGCGUAGAUAUAUGGAGGAACACCGGUGGCGAAAGCGGCUCUCUGGUCUGUAACUGACGCUGAGGCUCGAAAGCGUGGGGAGCGAACAGGAUUAGAUACCCUGGUAGUCCACGCCGUAAACGAUGAGUGCUAGGUGUUGGAUCCUUUCCGGGAUUCAGUGCCGCAGCUAACGCAUUAAGCACUCCGCCUGGGGAGUACGACCGCAAGGUUGAAACUCAAAGGAAUUGACGGGGGCCCGCACAAGCGGUGGAGCAUGUGGUUUAAUUCGAAGCAACGCGAAGAACCUUACCAGGUCUUGACAUCCCGAUGCUAUUUCUAGAGAUAGAAAGUUACUUCGGUACAUCGGUGACAGGUGGUGCAUGGUUGUCGUCAGCUCGUGUCGUGAGAUGUUGGGUUAAGUCCCGCAACGAGCGCAACCCCUAUUGUUAGUUGCCAUCAUUCAGUUGGGCACUCUAGCGAGACUGCCGGUAAUAAACCGGAGGAAGGUGGGGAUGACGUCAAAUCAUCAUGCCCCUUAUGACCUGGGCUACACACGUGCUACAAUGGUUGGUACAACGAGUUGCGAGUCGGUGACGGCAAGCUAAUCUCCUAAAGCCAAUCUCAGUUCGGAUUGUAGGCUGCAACUCGCCUACAUGAAGUCGGAAUCGCUAGUAAUCGCGGAUCAGCACGCCGCGGUGAAUACGUUCCCGGGCCUUGUACACACCGCCCGUCACACCACGAGAGUUUGUAACACCCGAAGUCGGUGAGGUAACCUUUUGGAGCCAGCCGCCUAAGGUGGGAUAGAUGAUUGGGGUGA